rnacentral:misc_RNA from 1 species
GUCGUCAUCAAAACCUCGAGGUGCUGCAGAAUCCAAAUUUCCAGCACUGGGAAGUAAGGAAGUAAGAAAGAAAGAAAGAAAGAAAGAAAGAAGAUUUUUUUUUUUUUUUUUUUUUUUUUUUCCUCUGCUUUCGUGGUAAAUUACGGAGGUAGAAAAUGAAAUCCGUCAUUACAAAACCUCCUCUUAAUUCCAUUCAGCUCCCAAAACCCGUUAUUAUCCGAUUCCACUGUUCUCUCGCUAAUCUCACAUCUCACAGACAUGUCUUUAAACCUAAAAAAUUAGGCUCCCAAAGUCCCC